rnacentral:rRNA from 1 species
GUGUCAGCAGCCGCGGUAAGACGAACCGUGCGAACGUUGUUCGGAAUCACUGGGCUUAAAGGGCGCGUAGGCGGGCAUUCAAGUCAGGGGUGAAAUCCUCCAGCUUAACUGGAGAACUGCCUCUGAUACUGGAUAUCUCGAGUGAGGUAGGGGCGUGCGGAACUGAUGGUGGAGCGGUGAAAUGUGUUGAUAUCAUCAGGAACUCCGGUGGCGAAAGCGGCGCGCUGGACCUUAACUGACGCUGAGGCGCGAAAGCCAGGGGAGCGAACGGGAUUAGAAACCCUGGUAGUCC